rfam:Brachypodium distachyon strain Bd21 chromosome 4, whole genome shotgun sequence.
CAGAUACUCCCUCCGGCCGGAAUUACUUGUCGAAAUAUUACAUGUAUCUAGACGCUUUUUACACAUAGAUACAUCCGUAUUUGGGCAAAUUUGAGACAAGUAAUACCAGUCGGAGGGAGUAUUAA